rnacentral:rRNA from 1 species
GACGUAGGAUGCAAGCGUUGUCCGGAUUUAUUGGGCGUAAAGAGUUCGUAGGCGGUUUGUUAAGUCUGAUGUUAAAGAUCGGGGCUCAACCUCGGGAGUGCAUUGGAUACUGGCAGACUGGAGUGUGGUAGAGGUUAGUGGAAUUCCCAGUGUAGCGGUGAAAUGCGUAGAUAUUGGGAAGAACACCAGUGGCGUAGGCGACUAACUGGGCCAUAACUGACGCUGAGGAACGAAAGCCAGGGGAGCGAAU